UCUGCCUGUACUGGGUUUGUGUGGCAAGAUUUUGGGGGGGGGGGGUUACAGGGGUGUCUUCUCUGAGAAGCUGCUGGAAGCUUCCCCUAUGUCCAACAGAGCCAACACCAGCCGGCUCUAAGACGGACCUGCUGCCGGCCAAGGCCAAGCCAAUCAGUGAUAGUGGUAGUGCCUCUGGGAUAACAUAUUUAAGAAGGAAAAAAGUUGCAGGGCACACAGAAAUGGCAGCUGGAAAGAGGAGUGAGAACAUGUAAGAGAAACAAUCCUGCAGACACCCAGGUCAGUGAAGGAGGGGAAGAGAUGCUCCAGGUGCCAGAGCAGAGAUUCCCCUGCAGCCUGUGGUGAAGACCAUGGUGAGGCAGGCUGUCCCCCUGCAGCCCACAGAGGCCCACAGUGGAGCAGAUAUCCACCUGCAGCCUGGGGAGGACCCCAUGCCAGAGCAGGUAUUCAAGACGAUUCAGUAGUCUCAACAUGGAUCAGCUCAGAUCCCCAUACUUAAGGUAAGUUAGGCAUUUAUAGCCUCCUUCAAGUGCUAUGUAACAGUUGCAGUAGUCAAUGCCUUUUGCCGAACAGGAAGUCCUUAUGAAGCUGGAAAGCUGUUUCCAGAGAACCUCUCACUUUCUUGCACAUGAUAUCGGGGGACACUGUCUUCGUACCUGGAACGCUGGAAGAACCCGCACUGGGGCAGAGAAGAAAAAGAACAGUUUAGGUUUGAAUUGCUACCAAAGCACUACAAUUAUAGAGGCAGUAAAUUCUUCCUUUGCACAGAUAGACAGGCAGAAGACCAAAAGAGUGAAAUAGACCCACACAUUCAAAGUGGGUCCCACAGUGUCUUCUUGUGCCUGCUCAAUCCUGCAUGCAGUAAGUACACAUACUCGCUGUCUGUGUGCACCAGCUAACACCUGGGCAUGCCACAGUUAGGGGUCUGGGUUUAAGUUUUCUUCCCUACCUGCAUGGGUUUUUAUGCUGUACAACUGAACGUGCAUGAACUGCUCCGAAAAAAAAAAAAGUGUACAGCCAGCCUCAGGUCACUUUGUCAAAAUAUCAUCAUAAAACAUAGAAGCUCUAGUCUGCAGCCAGACUGCAUGUUCUGAACUGGAAGUCAGGAUUUUGGGACAAGAAAAGCCAGUUUUAAAUCUAGCAACUUUUCCAAGUAUUCAUAUGCAUAAAGAGAGAAGCUGUUCGUUUGAUUAAAAGCAGCUGUUGGCAGUAAUCUAAAUUACUCACUCUGAAUUCAUACUCUAUGAGGUUUCCAAUAUUAUCUUCAGAUUUCAUAGCACUCUCACCAAUGAUGUUACCUCCAAAAUAUACCUGAGAAGGCUUAGCAACUCUGUUCAGGUGGGGGUGGGGAAGGAGAAUAAUCAGAUUUUAAUGAAGUCUGCAGCAAAAGUGUCAUCCCCAGCCCCUCCCCAUUUGUUAUGCUAUCAACACUUACCCAGUGAGUGAUAAAAGCAAUUCAAGAACCACUUUAGCACUAGCUGUAAUUGGAGUCGAAUUAACUUGAGUACUUGUUCUACAAUGAAAAGGAAAGAAUGCCGUUUAUUUUACAAAUUUCAGUUUUCAUUUUACUAUUAAAUUGCUUUUGUGAAUCGAACAAAUUAAUUCAAAACAUUUACAACUGUAUAUAAAAACAUAGCGAGCACACACACAAAGAAAACUUACGUUUCCAACUUCAGAUUAAUGUCCAAGUCUGUUGUAUCAACAUUAACUUUAGUGGUACUUAAGAUCAGAUAAAAGGUUACCUAGACAAGAAAGAACAUCCAUGAAAUAUAUAAACAUUUUAUAAAAUAUAUUAAUGUAUGCAGUAUUAUAGAAAUACACCAUCAAAUUCUAGAGUUAAAAAAACAGAUCCAAAUCAAAUUUCCAGUUAUGACACAGAAACUUUGGACAACUGCAAUCAGGAAUCAGAUUUUAUAACUUGAGUAAAAUGGGUGCAACUUACAUUAGAAUUUCUUUUGAAAGGAUUUCCAAGUUCGCACUCUGCUUGAGAACCAUUUUGGUUAGCACCACAUGUUAGCUGUUUUUCCUGAUUAAACAGAAUACAUUUAAAAAUAAAUAUAUGCUGAAAAUAUUUUAAAAUUGAGUAUCUUUUCUCUGAAAAAAUACUUACAGGAUAACCCCUCAUCUCCCUGAAUGCAGAAUACGUCAGACUGUCUGGAAAAGUUGCUAUUAGUUUGGCUUCAUAUGCAUCUUCACCAUCUUUUUGGGGAUUUUUUGCAUCAGAUGGAUUGUUUGUCACCGUUAUCUCCAGGGCAAUAUCUUUCUGAUCUUUCAGAACAAGCACUGGCAUGCCAUUUUCACUACAGAAACAGAGUAUACAGCAUUGGGUACAUUAGGAAAACAAACAUAUAUGAAAGUUUGCUUUUUACUGUGGCUUACCCAAAUAUAACUCCCUCUAUUAGGGAAGAAUUACUGUAAGACCAUAAACACAUGAAUCAUCAUCAUAGUUUUUUUUUUUUCCCCAGACCAGUAUUUAGUCUCUCGAAGUGGGCAGCAGUUAACAGGAUAGAACAGACUGAUAUACCCCUCAAGUAAUCAUGAGCUUACAGUAUUUCUGAACCAGCACUUGCAUCUGGCUCAUGUUUAAUAGUGAUGAAUUUUCUCUGAAUAAAUCUACUGACCUACUUUUUUCUUGUAAAGUAUACGUGGUUUUGUCAUCCAAGUCAGGUUGUGGCACUCACUGCUAAAGGAGACGAACUGUUGACAGUAAGUAAACAUACUUCCUUUUGUUUGUUUCACACCUCUUUUCUAAUUUCACUGGCCCUCCAGGGAGGAGAGGUGCAGCGGGGUGUUAGCUGUGUGUUACAGUGAAGUGAUUUCUCUGUUCAUUUCUUUGUAACUGCUUCUCUUAGGCUACUAGACUAUAGUAUAUCAUGUUAUCAUACUCGCAAUCAAACCUCAUCUCAAUAAUAGUUAACAGUACCACACACAGUAAGCUACUGCAAGGCUGGUUUACAAUCUCCUUUCUCCAGGGUUAGAAACUUUUUUUUCCUAACCUUUAGCCCACACCUGCAUGUUUGUGGCCACCUUGUAUCCAUUUGUCUCCCUACCCCUACUCUUCUUCUGAAGUUCAUCUCCACUCCCCCACCUUCCCCACCCUGACAGAUCAGUACACCCAGACAGAUCUGGCGUUUGCCAGACUAACAGAAUAAAGCUGCUCUAUCUCCCAAAACCCUCUCCCAAAAGUUCUUUGAAGCACUUGUUAAUAAUUUGAAUUUUAGCAAUGCAUUAAUCAAGGCUUACAUUGGUAAAUAAGUAAACCUGUCUUCAUUUCCUUCUCUAGUGCAAAACCGGUACUGAAGUUUCAGAUUGCUGUGACAUUUAUUGUCUUCUCCACAUCCUUCUUUUAAGAACUCCACCUAAAUAAAACCAAAGCACUUUUACUGCAUGCCACAUGAUACUAGCUUAAAACAAGAUUCUGACAUGCGCUGCAUAAAGCACCUACAGGGAACUCAGAGACAUUUUCCUGGAUAGAAGCUAAUCCAGUGUUGCAACGAUGGGAACAGCACUGAGCGUGCCAGGCCUCGGGAGCAUGCAGAUGGGCACACAUGAGCUGCCUCCGAGAGCUGGAAGCACUUGACCUGUUGAAGGACCAGGACCUUAUUCAGGCACAUCCUACAACUUUUACUAGGUACUGAGAAACUCAAGACAACCCAGGAGGAGAAGGAGAAAUGUCGACUGUGACCUGACUGUUCCCUGAGAUGCUCGCCAUUUCCUCCAGCAAAAUACGGAAGAUGGGAUUUGGCAUUCCUUGUAUUUCUCAUGUGAAAAACCAAAGCAGAGAUAAACCAGAUUGCCAUCCUUCAUUACACAGGCAGCAGGAGUUAACCAAGGCCGUACCCGUCAUUGUUGAGAUCCACAACAGCAACAUCAUAGCCAAAAGAAGAGGCCAGCCC